ACCUGGCUGGCUCAGUCAGUAGAGCAUGUGACUUGCUCUUGGGGCUGUGGGUUCGAGCCCCACAUCAGGUG
rnacentral:tRNA from 1 species